rnacentral:lncRNA from 1 species
CUCUCUCUUCUCUUCUAAUGUUUUGUGUUGGAAAUAGCGAAGAACAAGUUCUCAUGUAUUUGUUUGUAGAUCACAACUUCAACGAUAACCAAAGAUCCAACAACACCAUUUCUGAUUUACUUUAAUAAAGGUUAGUUUUAUUUCAAUUGGGGUUUCUUUGAUCUUUAAUUUAGUAUUUAUUUUGCUUACAUUGAAUCAAAUUUAGCUGAAUUUAAACAAAAUUUAUGGAAUUUUCCAUAUUGAUUUGGUUGCUUUGAACAAGUGAGUGUGUGUAGUGGUUUGUGAUCUCUGUAUUCAACUUUGUUUUAACACUGGGUUGAUGAAUUGUAUAUAAUUAGACAUUGGCUUGCUACCAAACAUACAAAACACACAAAAGAUUGAGAUCAAUUGCUGUAAUUUAGUUAAUUUCAGGAUUUGAUCUGCUCAAAGCGGUUAGAUUGUUGUACAUUUUCCAUUUGGGUCACCAUUCGUGAGGUCAAUGCCGUUUUCUCAAUACUCACGAGCAUAUGCCAUGUCAAUACAGAGUAAUUUUGAAGAGAAAUGAUUAGAUAAUUGGCAGUUCACUACAUGGCAAAGAACCUUUGAGUCCGUGGAGAAGUUUGGUAUACUUCGACUUCCAAGUGUUUGGUUUAGUGGUGAGGGAAGAGGUUUUCAUGGUUAAUUUACUUGAACUUGAGAUGGCCUAAAACUAAGAGUUGUGGGUCUGGGAUAAUGGUUCAAUUUUAUUUUCCCACUAGGUAUAACUAUAUAUUGUUACUUCAACUAAGUAAUGUGCUAUUGUGUAGAUAAGGACUUAGGAGUUACGUAACUGUUUCACAUUAGUGCGCUUCAAGGAUUUUGGGUGAGUGAGUGGACGGAUAUAGCCACAUCUGGGGAUAUUUUUUCUUUUUAUGGCCAUGGUUCAUACUCUAGAUGUAUCGGGGAAAAAGGUAUAAGUAAAGCUUUAAUGUUCAGCAAUCUAUAUACUGUUUAUGGUGCGCACACAGCCACACACUACAAUGUCAAAGAUCGUCAGAAUGAUUGGUUGGAACCUUCGCAUGUACAUUGGUACAAAUAUGUCUCUUUCAUUUUUUUAGAUGGGUAGUAGCUUAGAAAUUUAACAAGGUGGCUCUAAUGGGUGAGCAUAUGAUGUUCAAUGUUGCAUUUUAUGGUAUGGGACAUGUUUAUCACUUAAUGCUGAGUACCUUUGUUUGUUAUGUUCACUCCUCAAAACUGAAGUCGUGCCUCCUCAUUUUGAUGGUGUUAUGUCAUGAACCAGGAACGAGUUAUGAGGCUUCAAGUGAGGUUAUGUAGAACAUUCUGGAAUCAUAUGAACUCCCCCUUAACCCUUUUGAUGACACGACAUGUUAUUAACUGAUGACAUUGAUACAAAACAGGGCGGGUGAGUAAUAAACACGCGAUGACACAAGCAGAAAAUAACAACAAAAUGUCCCAAAGUGGUCAUAUUUUUUAUCUAGGUUUAACAAAUUUGAAUGGGUCAUUGUAUGAACUGUGAACACAACCUUCUUCUCUAGAUUUAUUUAUCUAUAUCGAAAAACUCUUUGAUAUUUUGUAUGCAAAUUACUAUUACUAGAUAAGCAGCAUUUCUGACUUGUGAGAAGGGAACUUUUGUUGGGUAUUCACUGCAAAUGAAUGUCUUAAUUUGGAAAUACUAUGAAGUUUGUUAUUUUGGUUGGCUUGGAGAAGAAUAUAUGAUAAAAUUAAGAAAGGUAGUUCCUUCUCAAAAAAGAAAAGCAAAAAACAUCAAAAAAUAAAAAUUUGGACAGAUGAACUUGCAACUGACACAUUUGAGAAGUUGGGUAUUAAAUGAAAGAGCUAAUAUUUUUAUUUUUAUGCUUGGUAAUAUUAAAAGCAUAUAAUUUUCUUGAAAACACUGCUUAAAGUGUCAUUAUCUUGAUGAAGCCAAAUAAUCAUGUGAUGCAUGUAAUGAUUAGAUAGAAUUUUUGAUUGUAGAAACAUGACAUGUAUAUUUAAUGUUUAUAUAUUUUAUGUGUUAUAUUUGACAUGUAUAUUUAAUGUUUGCUGAAGAUCUCUCGACAACACAUAAAUCAAAACGCACCACUAUUCUAAGUCAAAUGGGCAGGUAUGUCUUAAUUUGGAAAUACUAUGAAGUUUGUUAUUUUGGUUGGCUUGGAGAAGAAUAUAUGAUAAAAUUAAGAAAGGUAGUUCCUUCUCAAAAAAGAAAAGCAAAAAACAUCAAAAAAUGAAAAUUUGGACAGAUGAACUUGCGACUGGCACAUUUGAGAAGUUGGGUAUUAAAUGAAAGAGCUAAUAUUUUUAUUUUUAUGCUUGGUAAUAUUAAAAGCAUAUAAUUUUCUUGAAAACACUGCUUAAAGUGUCAUUAUCUUGAUGAAGCCAAAUAAUCAUGUGAUGCAUGUAAUGAUUAGAUAGAAUUUUUGAUUGCAGAAACAUGCAAAACAACCUUGAAGCACCCAUGGGAUGCCUAAAAAAUGAGGCAUCCCUAGGAUGCCAACAGAGUAAGGCAUAUCCUUACAAACUAAAAUCGGGCAUAACAUCCGUAUUUCUUUUAGGUCCCAUCAUUUUGGACUAAUCAUACCAUGAUUUGAGUUUAAUCGGAAAAAUUGUAUAUUUUACUUCUCAAGACCAACAAUCAAAUUGAACUUUAAUGAAGCCUUACGUAGCUAGCCUUAUAAACACUUAUUUUUGAUUUGUGUAUUUGUCUGACCCAAAAUCAAACAGAUUCAUUUAACCAUGAACAUCACAUGUCAAUUGUUUCGAACUUUCGAUUCUUGGAAUGGGAUAUAAGUCAGUUUGAUGAUAACAUGCUAAAACUACUUACAUGUUUUUCUUUUAGUUUCGAAUGAAUUUUGGUCUAUAAUAAUUUCAAAUUUCAAUUCACAAAACGUUUUAAAUACUAAAU